rnacentral:lncRNA from 1 species
AGUUCACAUAGACCAGGCUUCCUCUUUAGAGGCAUAAGCUGUAAAACAGGAGAGUCUGUUUUAAGAGGAUCUGUUUGAAGUUUAAUGUAACUGAAGUCCAUGCACCUGAAGCCAUUAAUUGAUAUAAGUGAAGUAAGUCUUUGGGUUUCCGGUAGCUCUGACUCAGAUUCUGCUUGCCUCUUCUCCAUGAGAUUACCAAGGCAUCAGGGCAGAGACUCCCUGAGGCUAUGCUAGAAGGGUACCAUUUGAAAAGGAAGUGUAUGACCCACCGUGAAAUGGAACUGGUAGCUGGUCACCCAGGUGCUCUUCCUUGUUAACUGAUGAGAGCGAUUAUUAUGUGAGAACUUUAACAACCUGCCAAAGGAUCCCGGGGCAAGAAUGAGAGCUGAACCAUUGAAAAGCUGAGCAUCGAAGUGCCUGGGAAGCCCAAAACUCAGCACAUUCAUGCUUUUGCUGGUUUUUGACCAUUGAGAAGAAAAAAGAGUCAGCAACCAGGGAGCAGGAUGAGUGGAUCUGGUUCAGAACAUCUGUGAACACAGAGGGAGUGGAAACUUCACUUUCAACAUCAUCAGCCAACUUCCCUCCCAUUACAAUUCUAUCUCAAGAUCAAGGUCAUGCAACAAAACCAGCAGGUGUCAAGACAUUUUAAGAUGUUGUCAAUUUGCCAAGGAAAUGAAAGAUUGUUGUGAAUAUGGCAAGAUGUGAAAACAAUGGAGGACUAGGUUUGGUAUUAGUGAGGCAGAUAUUUGUCAUUGGAGGAAAUACUACAAUUCCAUAUUUUCUUUGAGAGCAACUACAAAAUUCAUUUUGCAACAUAAGAAAGGAAGGUGCUCACAAGU